rnacentral:rRNA from 1 species
CAAUAGCGUAUAUUAAAGUUGUUGCAGUUAAAAAGCUCGUAGUUGGAUUUCUGAUCGAGACAUCAGGUCGGGUCCGAGAGGAUCAUGUACUUUGAUUUUGUUUUGAUCACCCUUGGGGAGAGCAUUUCUGGCAUUCAGUUGUCGGGAUUGGGAUCCUCAUCGUUUACUGUGAAAAAAUUAGAGUGUUCAAAGCAGGCCUCGGCCUCUGAAUACAUUAGCAUGGAAUAAUAAGAUAGGACUUUGGUGGUCUAUUUUGUUGGUUUGCACGCCAAAGUAAUGAUUAAUAGGGAUAGUUGGGGGUAUUCGUAUUCAAUUGUCAGAGGUGAAAUUCUUGGAUUUAUGGAAGACGAACUACUGCGAAAGCAUUUACCAAGGAUGUUUUCAUUAA